rnacentral:rRNA from 1 species
GACGAACGCUGGCGGCGUGCUUAACACAUGCAAGUCGAACGGUAAGGCCCUUCGGGGUACACGAGUGGCGAACGGGUGAGUAACACGUGGGUGAUCUGCCCUGCACUUCGGGAUAAGCCUGGGAAACUGGGUCUAAUACCGGAUAGGACUCCGGACUGCAUGGUCUGGGGUGGAAAGCUUUUGCGGUGUGGGAUGGGCCCGCGGCCUAUCAGCUUGUUGGUGGGGUGAUGGCCUACCAAGGCGACGACGGGUAGCCGGCCUGAGAGGGUGACCGGCCACACUGGGACUGAGGUACGGCCCAGACUCCUACGGGAGGCAGCAGUGGGGGAUAUUGCACAAUGGGCGCAAGCCUGAUGCAGCGACGCCGCGUGAGGGAUGACGGCCUUCGGGUUGUAAACCUCUUUCAGCACAGACGAAGCGCAAGUGACGAUAUGUGCAGAAGAAGGACCGGCCAACUACGUGCCAGCCGCCGCGGUAA